GACGUAGGGCGCGAGCGUUUGUCCGGAAUCAUUGGGCGUAAAGCGCGCGUAGGUGGCCAUGUAAGUCCGCUGUGAAAGUCAAAGGCUCAACCUUUGAAAGCCGGUGGAUACUGCAUGGCUAGAGUACGGAAGAGGCGAGUGGAAUUCCUGGUGUAGCGGUGGAAUGCGCAGAUAUCAGGAGGAACACCAAUAGCGAAGGCAGCUCGCUGGGACGUUACUGACACUGAGGCGCGAAAGCGUGGGGAGCGAACAGG
rnacentral:rRNA from 1 species